rnacentral:rRNA from 1 species
ACCAUUGUGAACGUUACCUUAACCGUUGCUUCGGCGGGCGGCGCCCGGCCCCUCGUGGCCCGCGGCGCCCCCCGGCCCCCUGCGGGCGCCCGCCGGAGGUAUACCUAACUCUUGAAUUACAUGGCCUCUCUGAGUCUUCUGUACUGAAUAAGUCAAAACUUUCAACAACGGAUCUCUUGGUUCUGGCAUCGAUGAAGAACGCAGCGAAAUGCGAUAAGUAAUGUGAAUUGCAGAAUUCAGUGAAUCAUCGAAUCUUUGAACGCACAUUGCGCCCGCCAGUAUUCUGGCGGGCAUGCCUGUUCGAGCGUCAUUUCAACCAUCAAGCCCCGGGCUUGUGUUGGGGACCUGCGGCUGCCGCAGACCCCGAAAACCAGUGGCGGGCUCGCUGUCACCCCGAGCGUAGUAGUUUACACCUCGCCCAGGGCGCGACGCGGGUUCCCGGCCGUUAAACCCCCACCAUCUAAAGGUUGACCUCGGAUCAGGUAGGAAGACCCGCUGAACUUAAGCAUAUCAAUA